GUGCAGCAGUCGCGAAUUUUUCACAAUGGGGGAAACCCUGAUGGAGCGACGCCGCGUGGAGGAUGAAGGCCCUCGGGUCGUAAACUCCUGUCAUGCGGGAACAAGAAAGUGAUAGUACCGCAAGAGGAAGAGACGGCUAACUCUGUGCCAGCAGCCGCGGUAAUACAGAGGUCUCAAGCGUUAUUCGGAUUCAUUGGGCGUAAAGGGUGCGUAGGUGGCGAUGUAAGUCUGGUGUGAAAUCUCGGGGCUUAACCCCGAAACUGCAUUGGAUACUGCGUUGCUUGAGGAUUGUAGAGGAGUGUGGAAUUCACGGUGUAGCAGUGAAAUGCGUAGAUAUCGUGAGGAAGACCAGUUGCGAAGGCGACUCUCUGGGCAAUUCCUGACACUGAGGCACGAAGGCCAGGGGAGCAAACGGGAUUAGAUACCCCUGUAGUCCCUUAGACUA
rnacentral:rRNA from 1 species